rnacentral:rRNA from 1 species
UACGUAGGGUGCGAGCGUUGUCCGGAAUUACUGGGCGUAAAGAGCUCGUAGGUGGUUUGUCGCGUUGUUCGUGAAAACUCACAGCUCAACUGUGGGCGUGCGGGCGAUACGGGCAGACUGGAGUACUGCAGGGGAGACUGGAAUUCCUGGUGUAGCGGUGAAAUGCGCAGAUAUCAGGAGGAACACCGGUGGCGAAGGCGGGUCUCUGGGAAGUAACUGACGCUGAGAAGCGAAAGCGUGGGUAGCAAACAGG